rnacentral:lncRNA from 1 species
CGACAUUUCUUAUAGGAAAUGGAACUCUUCAUAAGUCUGGCCAUGGAGGCAUGAUAUCCGUAACAUCCCCCAAAGGAGCUAAAGAAGAAAUCCACAAUUUACCAUGAGCAUUUCUCGUCUAAUGAUUGCCAAGCGAUUCCUCCAGGACAUUCCUCAAGAUCAAUUUCUGUUCAUCCACCUUGUCCUGGGAGGGACAUCAAUGGGUUUCCAUGUCCUUUGGCUUCUGGUUGAGUUCACUCAGUGGAGAACCCUGGCAAGAGGCAGGAAAAGGGGAGGAAGGUGAAAACCAUCCAUUUCUUGGAGAAGUGCCACGGUGGGGUUGCAAGUCCCAGGAUCAAGAUUUCGAUGUGUCUCUUUUUCCCGUAAAGUGGCUGAAAUCUGAAGCUGAAUCUGCAAGUGUCAUGGAGUCAUUGAAUCUCACAGUCUCAACUGAUAAAAGUUAUUAAAGGUCGUCUGGUUCAGCCUUCU